GUCAAUGAUGGACUGAUUGAGAGGGUCGAAAGACCCGCCGUUUCUCGUAUGACGGUACGCCAAUCUUGAUCAGUUCAUCACCAGU
rnacentral:antisense_RNA from 1 species